rnacentral:lncRNA from 1 species
CACAAUGCCAAAUAUCCUUCUAGAGAGCUGGCAGAUAUCAGAAACCUCUUCUCAGCUUUAGAGAUGCUUUUCACACAGACAGAAGAUUUCCUCUCCACACCAGAGGCAGCAGGAUAAGAUGUACCAUCAGACCGCACUGGCUUACCGUGGUGACAAGAAAGAAGAGGCCCUGACUGGGGGAAACUAAAGACUUUGCCUGGCAACCUAGAGACUUUAUCAUCGCAGGAGAUGGAUAACCAAGAUGAAACCAUGAGACAACAUUCUGGGCCAAGCAGUGAGCAAUGAGGAGACCCAGACCCCAGGUUCCUGGCUGUGUCUUUGGCUAAAAAGAAGAGGCAUUAAGACAGAUUCCCUGAGGAUACUUCAAGAACCCUGAAAUUGCCUUGCUCACAUACCACCACACUAGAGAUGUUUCAGAAAAGCAGCUUCCCUUUUGGUGCCUCCAAUCCAGAAUGACUCCAGCACAAGACUUCCUUUUCUAGGACCCACCGAGAGGUGAGGCAGAGAGGACAAGGCAAGGACAAAACUUCUUUGGACUAUUUUCUGCACAUCCCCAGCAGAGAUUGAUGAAUGCCUCUGAGUCAGCAAAAUCUCCAGUGGUGAAACAGAAAGCGUACACUCCACACAUUCAAGCAGCCAGGCCAGCCCACACGGAGAAGAGGAUGUUCACAUCCAGCCUGUUCAGUGGACCCCAUGGGGCAUUUCAAAGGCUAUUACAUUUCCAGGACCUUCUAUCACACCCCCUUUCUUCCAUCCCUGCUAAUAUUUGUGACUUUCCAGCUUUCUUCUCUGAAAUUAAAAUCAAACCUUUGCAAAGUGAAAAUCAGUUCAUCUGAGCUAGUGCUGGUUAAGAUUUACAAAAUAAAGAGGAAUUUUACACCCAC